UCCUACGGGAGGCAGCAGUGGGGAAUAUUGCACAAUGGGCGCAAGCCUGAUGCAGCGACGCCGCCUGAGGGAUGACGGCCUUCGGGUUGUAAACCUCUUUCAGUAGGGAAGAAGCGAAAGUGACGGUACCUGCAGAAGAAGCGCCGGCUAACUACGUGCCAGCAGCCGCGGUAAUACGUAGGGCGCAAGCGUUAUCCGGAAUUAUUGGGCGUAAAGAGCUCGUAGGCGGUUUGUCGCGUCUGCCGUGAAAGUCCGGGGCUCAACUCCGGAUCUGCGGUGGGUACGGGCAGACUAGAGUGAUGUAGGGGAGACUGGAAUUCCUGGUGUAGCGGUGAAAUGCGCAGAUAUCAGGAGGAACACCGAUGGCGAAGGCAGGUCUCUGGGCAUUAACUGACGCUGAGGAGCGAAAGCAUGGGGAGCGAACAGGAUUAGAUACCCUGGUAGUCCAUGCCGUAAACGUUGGGCACUAGGUGUGGGGGACAUUCCACGUUUUCCGCGCCGUAGCUAACGCAUUAAGUGCCCCGCCUGGGGAGUACGGCCGCAAGGCUAAAACUCAAAGGAAUUGACGGGGGCCCGCACAAGCGGCGGAGCAUGCGGAUUAAUUCGAUGCAACGCGAAGAACCUUACCAAGGCUUGACAUGAACCGGAAACGCCUGGAAACAGGUGCCCCGCUUGCGGUCGGUUUACAGGUGGUGCAUGGUUGUCGUCAGCUCGUGUCGUGAGAUGUUGGGUUAAGUCCCGCAACGAGCGCAACCCUCGUUCUAUGUUGCCAGCACGUGAUGGUGGGGACUCAUAGGAGACUGCCGGGGUCAACUCGGAGGAAGGUGGGGACGACGUCAAAUCAUCAUGCCCCUUAUGUCUUGGGCUUCACGCAUGCUACAAUGGCCGGUACAAAGGGUUGCGAUACUGUGAGGUGGAGCUAAUCCCAAAAAGCCGGUCUCAGUUCGGAUUGGGGUCUGCAACUCGACCCCAUGAAGUCGGAGUCGCUAGUAAUCGCAGAUCAGCAACGCUGCGGUGAAUACGUUCCCGGGCCUUGUACACACCGCCCGUCAAGUCACGAAAGUUGGUAACACCCGAAGCCGGUGGCCUAACCCCUUGUGGGAGGGAG
rnacentral:rRNA from 1 species